rnacentral:lncRNA from 1 species
UCUCUUUUAAUUUCUAGUUUCUAAAAAUGAUUUUUAAUAUUUUUUUUAUUUUACCAUUUGCUAUUUUUUAAUAAUUUUCUCUUUUCUGGUUAUUUUUAAUUCAUUUUAAAUAGUUUUUGAUAUUCAAAAAACACAAAAAUGUUUUUUCAACCUCUUUGAAUGAUGAUAGAUCUAAAAAAAAUAUUCUCAUCAAUUUAUUAAUUGAUUUGAGAUUUAUUUGAGAUUUUAGUUCAAUUAGGUUAUUUUUAUGCAUUUUUA